rnacentral:pre_miRNA from 1 species
CUGGUUUUCACAAUGAUCGUCCAGAUGGACCUGAAGUCUGAGAUCAUUGUGAAAGCUGAUU